GUGGGGCUUGGAGGGGGUGUGGCCUCUGCCUCUUCCUCCUCGAGCGGCUUCCUGUCUGCCCGGGCUUGGAGCUGCUCUGCUCGCCAUAUUGUUUGCUUUCCAGUCAGCGGAUCACGAAGUGAAACCGUGAGUCAACAUAAACCUCUCCUGCCUUAAGUUAUCCAUAUCAGCGAACCCGGGGACACAGAGCCCGAGUCCCGCCUCACCUCUCGUUGAGGAGGCCACCGAGGCCCCGGGGCGCAGGCGGAGGCCGGCAGCACCCAGCCCGCCCUGAUCGCCGCUGGAAAGCGCCGGUCCCCGGCCCUGGGGUGACGUCGGAAUCGACCUCGAGGUCCCUGGGGGACCCAGUGCCCGGAGCACAGUGCGCACGCGGUGAAUUAUUUGGAGGAGAAGGCCCACCCUGGCCCAGCCGGAGCUCCAGCCUCAGCUGGGUCACCCACCCCGGUCCCCGGGGUCUUAUACAAUAAUGGGGGAAGGCGACAUGAAAAUGGGUGAUAGGCAAACGUUGUACCACCGAGCUACACCCAGGCCCUUUUUGUUUACAUUUUAAAUUUUAUUUUUAUAUUUGUUUGAACAUAAUAGUAUUGAGUGUUUUUGUUUUGUUUUGUUUUCUUCCCGAGGAUUAAACUCAGGGCCUUCACAUUGAGCUCCAUCCCCAGCCCUUUCUACUUUUUUGAGACAGACUGCCUCAUUUGCUCAGCUAGGCUGGAACUUGCAACCCUUCUGCCUCAGCCACCCAGAGUGCUGUGAUUACAGACCGAUGACACCAUGUUGGACCUAAUUUACAUUUUUAAAUUUUAUUGGUACAUUUUAGGUAUACAAUAUAAUGACAUUCAUCGUUGGAAAUUUGUACCUUUACAUAAUUUAUCUUGGUUCUUAUUUUCCUAAUUUAUAUCCUUAAAAAGACCAGUAGGUAGGGCUGGGGAUUUAGCCCAGUGGCUCCACACCUGCCUCGCAAGCGCAAGGUUCUCAGUUUGAUCUCCGGUACCAAAAAAAAAGACCAGUAGGUAGAGAAUUACCAGGAUAGGGUAAGAGGAGAGUCUAGCAAGUAGAAGGCUUUGGGGGAUCCAGAUUUGGGCAGGUGAUGGCCUGGAUUUAAAGGGUAGCAGUAGAGAUAAAGAAGUGGAAAUAUCUAAAACUGAGUUUAGAGAGGUAAAGGUAUUCCAUGAUGGAUUGAACAGUGAGGGAUGGAGAGGAAGAAAUCAACAGGUAGUUCCUGAGUAUUUGGUAGUGCCAUGCACUAAAUGAGGAAACUAACAAAAAAAUAGGUUUGGGAAAGGGAAUGAAGUGUUCUGCUUGGGGGUUUAGGGUGCAAUGUGAAAUUGUCAUCCAGACACAUGGAUACUUGAGUCUGGAGCUCAGAUGAAGAACACAGGCUGGCAAAGAGAAUUUGAGAUACGAAGAUGGUAUUUACAGCACCAAGAAUGAAAGGGGAUGAGAGUGUAUAGUUCAUGCAAGAGGCUCUGGCUUCAAUUCCAUCACUAAGGUCAAAGAAAAAAGAGGGCUGGGGGAAUGUGUUAGGGGGCUGAGAACAAUGCUUAGAGAUAAGGAGAAAGAGGAUCCACUCAGGAGAUAGGAUUGGCCAGAGAGGUAGGUGGAAACCAAGAGAGACCUAAGAAAGGA